GGGAAUGUGGCUUAGUGGUAAAGUGCUUGCCUAGUAUGCACGAAGCCCUGGGUUUGAUUCCUCAGUACCA
rnacentral:tRNA from 1 species